UGGCACCCCAAUGUGGGACCUGAGAAUGAGGGAUCCAGUGAGGGACGCUGUUCGAGAGGCUGGCACAAAAACAGGAUGGAGAAAAUUCCGAGAACAGAGGAAAAGACUACACGGGAGCCUGCUGCAUUUUCUGAACAGCAAUUACGGGACAAGAAAUGAGCCAGCAUGAGAUUUUUGUUGAAAGGCUUAGGAAAGGCUUUAAAGGCACGAGGAGUAAAGGUUAAAAUUAAGCAAUUAUGUCAAUAUUUUGAUUUUAUAAAGCAAGUUUGUCCUU
rfam:Cavia porcellus supercont2_33 genomic scaffold, whole genome shotgun sequence.